rnacentral:rRNA from 1 species
UACGUAGGGUGCAAGCGUUGUCCGGAAUUAUUGGGCGUAAAGAGCUCGUAGGCGGUUAGUCGCGUCUGCUGUGAAAACUCGGGGCUUAACUCCGGGCCUGCAGUGGGUACGGGCUGACUAGAGUGCGGUAGGGGAGACUGGAAUUCCUGGUGUAGCGGUGAAAUGCGUAGAUAUCGUAAGGAAGACCAGUGGCGAAGGCGGGUCUCUGGACAGUUCCUGACGCUGAGGCACGAAGGCCAGGGGAGCAAACGGG